UACAGGGGGUGCAAACGUUGCUCGGAAUCAUUGGGCGUAAAGCGCACGUAGGCGGUUCGUUAUGUCGGAUGUGAAAGCCCUUGGCUUAACCGAGGAAGUGCAUCCGAAACUGGCGAGCUAGAGUACUAAAGAGGAUCGCGGAAUUCCCGGUGUAGAGGUGAAAUUCGUAGAUAUCAGGAGGAACACCGGUGGUGUAAACGGCUUUCUGGACCAUAACUGACGCUGAGGCACGAAAGCGUGGGUAGCAAACAGG
rnacentral:rRNA from 1 species